rnacentral:lncRNA from 1 species
AGCCAGGAUGGUCUCGAUGUCCUGACCUCAUGAUCCGCUUGCCUCAGCCUCCCAAAGUGCUGGGAUUACAGGCGUGAGCCACCGCGCCCGGCCUCUUCAUUCUUUCAGAAAUGUCAACAUUAAGUGCUUUUACUGUAAUAAAACUUGGGACUUCAAUGAGGCAAGAAGGGGCUGCAGUGUUGCCUUUAAAUCAGUGGGUCCUCAUUCACUGUCUGCACUGGGGAGGGGCAAUAUGACAGCACAACUGUUCAUCUCACUCGCUCCACAUCCUUAGAAGUAACACGAUUUUUAGAUUGGCUUCAUGAAAAUUAGCUCAGAGACUAAAGUAGCACUACAGAGGAAUAAAAAAAAUAUUUGUUAUAUAAAUAAGGAUCUUAUUAAAAUACUAAGUAAGAUACUAUGCCACGGUAUAUAUUCAUAAUUUAAAACCCACCUACUUGGGAAAACUUUGAGGUGCCAUCUAAUAAAAAUGCAGCAUGAAAGAAUAUUAUGCCCUUGAUAGUCACAUAGUGUCUAUAAUUAUGACAACGAAUGUUCAGUGAGAAAUCAAACGCCAACUGCAAGGGCAAAAUAUAAUAAAAAAUAGCUUAAAGUAGCUAGUGCCUUCAGGAUAAAAUCUGGAAAAGAGCUUUCUUGCUGAUCUUUUUUUGAAACUUUGCUGCUCCUGAAGUUUUUACCCUUUAAGGCUCCUCAGUUUAUAUGAAGCUUGGAGGACAAAUAACAGACAGGUUUGAGCCUAACAGAUUUGUUUGAAUCCCAAAUUUACCAAUGACUGCUUGUGUGACCUACUAAACUAAGCUCCAGGAGGGCCAGGCCAGGUGUCUUAUUCAACCACAAAAUCCCAGACGCCUCCUCCCCAGCGCCCCCGGCAUGUGAGGCACAUUUCCUCCAUCAGCAUAGGAAUCGGAUGACCUGGGAAAGGGAGUAUUGUUAGUUUUCCCAGCGCCAGCUUCAAUAGGGAUCGGGGUUAUUUAAAAAUGCAGGAGAAAAAUAAGGAGGCACUCAAAAACAAAACACAAAACCCACAUUGAUGGGGGCAUGUCAAAGGCGGGAACAGGAGAUAACGGAAAGAGUUCCCAAUGGUCAAAGCUGGGCUAAUUUGAGCAACAAAAUAAAGCAGUAUUAAAUUGUAACCCAAAGUAUAAAAUAUUCAUGUGUCCACACUGAUAAACAUAAAUGAUCGAACUAAUAAAGCGAAAGGGACAACUGUCCUUUGCAGAAGAAUUUCAAUUAAUUAUGUAGACCACUCCCAAAAAAGUACACUACAACUCCCCAUUCCUUUAGUGUGGGCUGUGCAUAGUGAUUUCCUUCCAAAGAGCACAGUAUGAAAUGGGGGAAAAGAGUAACUUUACAAUGGAGAAACCUGACAAACACUCCUUCAGCCAGGUGAUCAGGUCGUCAACAUCAACAUCAAUAACAGUCAUAACCU